AGUCAUUUCAGAGUCUCAAGCUUAAAAGUGUAUUCUCCAGCAAAGAAAAGCUGUCCCAUACUUAGAGCUCUCCUCCCAGUGAAGAUCCAAAACAGACUAUGAGCUUAUUAAUGGUCAUUCUCAUAGAAUUGUAACAUUCUAGAGCUGAACAAGGUUUAAAGGUAGUCUAAUACAGCCCUUUCAUUUUGUAAAAGAAGAAACCGGGGCCCAGAGAAGCUUUGGCUUGUCUGAGGUCACAGAGCCAGAUGAGACCUGAUUCUUAGUCCUGUAUCUUUCCAUUAGAUCCUACUAUUUUCUGUUUGAUCUGGUGGUAAAAAGACAGGGUUGGAUUACAUCAUGCAUGCCCUUUAAAUAAUACAAUCCAAGUAACUGCCAUAUUAUAGGGACUAUUGACAAAAGAAGGGAACACCCUCCUCCACUGAGAUCUGCAUAUAUUGCAAUAAGCAAAUGUCUUACAUUUAACUUGAUUAUCUGAAAAUUGAAUUUACAUAACUAGGAACACAUGUGAUAUUAUGAUGGGACUAAUGCACACCAAAAAGGAUGACUUUUAUCUACAAAAUAUACUCUUAGUAUCCUGACUAGGGACAAUGAAAAAUUCAAGAUGUUCAAUUCUCACCCAUCUGCGGUGUGUGUGUGUGUGUGUGUGUGUGUGUAUAUAUAUAUGUGUGUGUGUGUGUGUGUGUGUGUGUGUGUGUAUUUAUCCUGACAGUAUAUGACAGAUCAAAAUUUUCAAUUGGUGAAGUUUCCUAUAAACAAGGAAAGACCUGGCCCUGUUAUGAGUUUGCCCUUCAAGCUGGAACUCCAGCUGGGACUAAAUCCAGUGCUGUGGGGCUCAGCAGUCGAUGUUGUUGAGACUGAACACAGAUUAUAAGGACAUUGCAUUUAUCUAGACUUUGGUUAAAUAUAAGGGUUACAAUAAAAAGAAAGAAUAUAUCAUGUCAAAUUUGGCCAAAUCCAUGUAAACUCUAACCUACUUAGCCUACUCAGCAUACACAUUCUGAACUGUAAACUAUAAACAUUAGUUGACUGAUUAGUCCUCAAUUUCACCAUGGAUUAAAUAACAGAACACAGAGUUACUGUGAGACUUGUGGUAGAAAAUCUUUAAUUCAUUCCCCACAUAUGUGCUAACAUUUGAUACAGCUUAGAAUUUAAAAAAACAUAAAAGAAGGCUAUAAAGUAAAAGUUACAAAAAAGGGGGAGGAAAAGGAAAAGGAGACAGAUGAUUUUAUCAGAAACU
rnacentral:lncRNA from 10 species